GACGCACAGGCUAACCCAGGCCCACGCACGCCCUGGGAGCCCAUUUGCUCGAUCCAUCGUGGACCGGGUGGUGCACAAAGGAGGGAUGGAUCGUGUGGGUAUUUUUUGUUCGUUUCUUAUGAUCCACGAUACUAUUCUAUGGAUCGGUGCACGAUCGGAGGGCAUGGGUUGAUCCCGAUCUCGAUCCAACGGCUGAAAAAUUUUUUUGGGCUUGAUUAGGAGUCUUUAACCUAAUCUAAUUAGGUUUUAAGGCUUUUAAAAGGCCCUAAUGCUUAAUUGAGAUAGUGUGGUGUCUCGUUUUUCAUGAGAUCAUACGAUAACCAGAAAAUAGAGAAUCCCAUG
rnacentral:lncRNA from 1 species